UAGGGAAUCUUCGGCAAUGGGGGGAACCCUGACCGAGCAACGCCGCGUGAGUGAAGAAGGUUUUCGGAUCGUAAAGCUCUGUUGUUAAGGAAGAACGAGUGUGAGAAUGGAAAGUUCAUGCUGUGACGGUACUUAACCAGAAAGGGACGGCUAAGUACGUGCCAGCAGCCGCGGUAAUACGUAGGUCCCGAGCGUUGUCCGGAUUUAUUGGGCGUAAAGCGAGCGCAGGCGGUUAGAAAAGUCUGAAGUGAAAGGCAGUGGCUCAACCAUUGUAGGCUUUGGAAACUGUUUAACUUGAGUGCAGAAGGGGAGAGUGGAAUUCCAUGUGUAACGGUGAAAUGCGUAGAUAUAUGGAGGAACACCGGUGGCGAAAGCGGCUCUCUGGUCUGUAACUGACGCUGAGGCUCGAAAGCGUGGGGAGCGAACAGG
rnacentral:rRNA from 1 species